AUGUUGCCUCGUUCCCUUUCUGAACAAAUAUUAAGUAAGGUUAAUCAUGGCUGGUAUGUCGAUACUCUCAAACUAUUUGCGAUUCAGGCUAUACAAUUUGCAGCAGAGAUUCAUUAUCAACUAUCUAGAGCCAAUGGUUGUCUGACGAGUGAACUUCCAAUACGGCAUGUGUCAUAUGAGCUUCUACUAUUCCUGACCUGUCCGCUGGACAUUUCCAACACGCAGCUUGAUGCCUACAACAGCAUGUGCUUCCUGUUUUGGCUUUGUUCAGUUUCUCAACUCACCUAUAACAUUUGUAUGAUGAAAUCUGACUUGGGCCUGUACCAGCGGAGCUAUUCUUGGGAUCCUAGAGGACUGGCAUUGCGGUUGUCAAUGGAAUUGGCUCACCGAGUGGUCUUCUCAGGAGCGGUGUGUGUCAUCAUCUUGGUGGUCCACUACCUCAUCCACGCCAGCAAUAUUUCACUUCAUCAACUGCCUGGAUUCCAAUCGACUCAAGGUACAACAAGUUUCACGAGAUCAUGGUGGUGUGAGUCUUUCAAGUCUUAUACAAUAACGUUGGCCGUGAGGGACCUAGUGCCUCCUACCUCCUACAAUCAAGGGCAUUUUCAAGAAGGGAGGGGUACCAUCACCAUUGCUGUCGUCUUCGCGCAAGGCUUUGUCGACCAUGAGUACUACUUUCUCAGCUUCGACCACGAUUGUGCUGAAAAUGACUACUUCUUGGACACCUUCUUCAGCGGGGCUCCCAUCGACCGCAACUGUUGUUCCUACUUUGUUGUAACACCCCGGAUGUAA
rnacentral:rRNA from 1 species